rnacentral:misc_RNA from 1 species
UCGUAACAAGGUUUCCGUAGGUGAACCUGCGGAAGGAUCAUUAACGAGUUAGGGUCUCUCUGGCCCGACCUCCCAACCCUUUGUCUACUUGACCAUCGUUGCUUCGGCGAGCCCGUCCUCACGGACCGCCGGAGGGAUCUUUACUGGCCCUCUGGUCCGCGCUCGUCGGUAGCCCAACCUUUAAAAUCUUUAACUAAACGUGCCUUAAUCUAAGUACAAUUAUUAAAUAAAAGCAAAACUUUCAACAACGGAUCUCUUGGUUCUGGCAUCGAUGAAGAACGCAGCGAAAUGCGAUAAGUAAUGCGAAUUGCAGAAUUCCAGUGAGUCAUCGAAUCUUUGAACGCACAUUGCGCCCUUUGGUAUUCCGAAGGGCAUGCCUGUUCGAGCGUCAUUAUCACCCCUCAAGCCCUCGGCUUGGUGUUGGACGGUUUGGUGGAGGCCCCCUCGGGGGUUCCUGCCCCUCCCAAAGACAAUGACGGCGGCCUCGUUGGACCCCCGGUACACUGAGUUCUUCACGGGACACGUAUCGGACACCUGGGUUUACGGGACACGGUCUGCCUCCCCUCAGGGAGAAUCUUUCUAAGGUUGACCUCGGAUCAGGUAGGGAUACCCGCUGAACCUAAGCAUAUCA